ACAUGCAUUAACAGCAGACCUUCAGGCAAU
rnacentral:sRNA from 1 species